GGAGAGGUCGCAUAGUUUGGCCUAGUGCGCACGACUGGAAAUCGUGUAUCCCGCAAGGGGUCGCGGGUUCGAAUCCCGCCCUCUCCGCCA
rnacentral:tRNA from 1 species